AUUGAACGCUGGCGGCAGGCUUAACACAUGCAAGUCGAGCGAGCGGCGGACGGGUGAGUAAUGUCUGGGAAACUGCCUGAUGGAGGGGGAUAACUACUGGAAACGGUAGCUAAUACCGCAUACCAUAGGAUGAGCCCAAGUGGGAUUAGGUAGUUGGUGAGGUAAAGGCUCACCAAGCCGACGAUCUCUAGCUGGUCUGAGAGGAUGACCAGCCGCACUGGGACUGAGACACGGCCCAGACUCCUACGGGAGGCAGCAGGGGGGAAUAUUGCGCAAUGGGGGCAACCCUGACGCAGCCAUGCCGCGUGAAUGAAGAAGGCCUUCGGGUUGUAAAGUUCUUUCAGCGGGGAGGCGUUACCCGCAGAAGAAGCACCGGCUAACUCCGUGCCAGCAGCCGCGGUAAUUC
rnacentral:rRNA from 1 species